rnacentral:rRNA from 1 species
CAACUUUCAGCAAUGGAUCUCUUGNCUCUC